CUGUUCACUGGGGUAAAAAUACAGAUUUUAAUACCCGUCUUAUUUUAGUUCUAAGACUUGGCAAUUGCCAGGUAUCAUCUUUUCGAUUUACCCAGGUCCACCGCCGAGGCCACAAGGGAGAUUUCUUCCAGAGAGAGGAUAGAGUUAUUAAGUCUAAAGUCCAUUAUUUGCUUUUGUCCUUCAGGAAAAGAUGAGAACAAUGCUGAAACUGACCGCAUGCGAUUGAAACUGCGUUAAGCUUCAAGAUCAAAGAACCAAGGACAAGAAUAAAGACUUCAAGGACAGCCAGCAAGAACUUCAAAUGGGCCGGUGGUCGCAAAAGCAGCCCUUCGUCUCAAAUGGAUCCUUCAUUGCGCGUGAUCGGAUGUAGGCAGUGCUAUGAUAAUCAGUUGCCAUCGUUUUUAUGUAUACGUAUACUAAUCUGAUUCAUAUGCAAUUAGUUAGUCUAUAUGACCUGUUUGUGCUAAAGCUGUGGCACGCACGCUAGGUGGAACUAUCCCCCGUGCAUCCAGCGCUGCAGUGAAGAAUGCCUGCUUUCUAAAA